ACUUAGUUCAAGAUAAAGAACA
rnacentral:rRNA from 1 species